AACGAACGCUGGCGGCAGGCUUAACACAUGCAAGUCGAGCGCCCCGCAAGGGGAGCGGCAGACGGGUGAGUAACGCGUGGGAACAUACCCUUUAGUACGGAAUAGCCUCGGGAAACUGGGAUUAAUACCGUAUACGCCUACGGGGAAAGGAUUAUCGCUAAAGGAUUGGCCCGCGUUGGAUUAGCUAGUUGGUGAGGUAAUGGCUCACCAAGGCGACGAUCUAUAGCUGGUCUGAGAGGAUGAUCAGCCACACUGGAACUGAGACACGGUCCAGACUCCUACGGGAGGCAGCAGUGGGGAAUUUUGGACAAUGGGCGCAAGCCUGAUCCAGCAAUGCCGCGUGCAGGAUGAAGGCCUUCGGUUGUAAACUGCUUUGUUACGGAACGAAACGGCUCUUUCUAAUAAAGGGAG
rnacentral:rRNA from 1 species